rnacentral:rRNA from 1 species
AUUGAACGCUGGCGGCAGGCCUAACACAUGCAAGUCGAGCGGAGCGGGGACGGGUGAGUAACACGUGGGUAACCUCCCAUCAGAGGGGAUAACACUUGGAAACGGGUGCUAAACCGAUACUGAUGGAUGGACCCGUGGUGCAUUAGCUAGUUGGUGAGGUAACGGCCCACCAAGGCCACGAUGCAUAGCCGAGCUGGGGGGGUGAUCGGCCACAGUGGGAGGGGACGACGGACAAGACUCCGACGGGAGGCAGCAGGAGGGAUUCGUCAGCGGUGGACGAAAGUCUGACCGAGCAACGCGGCGUGAAUGAAGAAGUUCGUCGGGUCGUAAAACUCUGUUGUUGGAGAAGCGGUAUCUAACCAGAAAGCCACGGCUAACGACGUGCCAGCAGCGGUAAUAC